GUUUAUUGCCUAAUCUGCAGCUUUGGAUCCUAGAGUCGCUCAGGCAAAUUUCAGCUAAUCAAAUCCUUGAUAAUUAACAGAGCUGGUGUUCUGGGGACAAGUCAGUUGCUUCCAGUUUCUUCCUUCAGUACACAAGCACGUCCCAUUUCUUUCCCUCACAUAUGGCUGCAUCAUACCCACACAUUUUCAUGCCUUUCCAAAACAAAAUGUCAGUCCUCAUCUUCUCACCAAUUUUGUUACUUGUCUGAAGUCUGCACAGAU
rnacentral:lncRNA from 1 species